CGCGUAGGCGGGAUGGCAAGUCAGUCGUGAAAUCUCUCGGCUCAACCGAGAAACGUCGGCUGAUACUGCCGUUCUUGAGGGAUGCAGAAGAGACUGGAAUUCCCGGUGUAGCGGUGAAAUGUGUAGAGAUCGGGAGGAACACCGGUGGCGAAGGCGGGUCUCUGGGCAUUUCCUGACGCUGAGGCGCGAAAGCGUGGGGAGCAAACG
rnacentral:rRNA from 1 species